GUUAAUGGGUCUCUAUGGGGUUAAUGGGUCUCUAUGGGGCCACUAUGGGACUCUAUAGGGCCCCUAUAGGGUUAAUGGGUCUCUAUGGGGUUAAUGGGACUCUAUGAGGCCUCUAUGGGGUUAAUGGGACACUAUGGGGAUUCUAUAGGGUUAAUGGGUCUCUAUGAGGCUCUAUGGGGCCACUAUGGGGUUAAUAGGACCCUAUGGGUCUCUAUGGGGAUAAGGGGACUCUAUGGGGCCACUAUGGGGUUAAUGGGACCCUAUGGGGUUGCUAUGGGGUUAAUAGGACCCUAUGGGGCCACUAUGGGGUUAAUGGGACUCUAUGGUGACUCUAUGGGGCCAAGGGGUCUGUAUGGGGCCGCUAUGGGGUUAACAGGACCCUAUGGGGUCUCUAUGGGGUUAACAGGACCCUAUGGGGUCUCUAUGGUGUUAACGGGUCUCUAUGGGGCCUCUAUGGGGUUAAUGGGUCUCUAUGGGGUUAAUGGGACUCUAUGGGGCCCCUAUAGGGUUAAUGGGUCUCUAUGGGGUCUCUAUGGGGUUAAUGGGUCUCUAUGGGGUCUCUAUGGGGCCUCUAUGGGGUUAAUGGGUCUCUAUGGGGCCACUAUGGGGUUAAUGGGUCUCUAUGGGGUGUCUAUGGGUCUCUAUGGGGCCAAUGUUUCCCUAUAG
ensembl:lncRNA